ACCCGAGUGGCUCAGUCAGUAAAGCGUCUGACUUUGGCUCAGGUCAUCAACUCACAGUUCAUGGGUUCGAGCCCCACGUCGGGCU
rnacentral:tRNA from 1 species